UACCCACCGCACAAUUCACACCGGGUCACCCAUGCCCUAAACCCAGCGACUCUUUCUCCCGAGCGACAACUGCGGCGUUUCCUCGGCGAGCUGCUGUCUUCCUCUCCAUCGGCGAACAGCAGAAGCAACGGCGGUGCCUUCCUCCGGGGUGUUCUUGUUGCUGCUGCGUUUUCCUCUGUGAACGGCGGCUGCAGCUUCUUCCUCUCCAUAGGCGAAACGGCGUCUCCGCCCCCCGAGUGGGAUUACCAAGCAGUAGGGAGUUAUUUGAUGCUAAAUUGGAGAAUAAAACUUACAGGAUUAUUACUCGAGUUUAGGAAAGAUUCCCAAAAAACAUUGCUACCAGUUGUCCAAAAGCCUGAUGGGAAGAAAAAUUUGAUGGUUUGUGAUCAGAUUUCUGUAAGCAAUUUCUGCUGCUAAAUAGAUCUCUAGGCCUUUGUUUAUCUGUUAUAUCUCCUCUGACUACUCUGUUAUAUUUGAUAUUACUGAUUCUGAGGUAUCAAAUUUAGUUUAAUAUUUAAAUUUUAAAGAAGAAUGGAGUGAUUUGCUUAAUAAAGCUCCAAAAAGUCACAUAUGUAGUACCUGGUACUGAAGACUUUGACCACACUGAUAUCUCUGAAUUUGUUCAGAAAGCUCCGGGUCUCUUAGUAAGUUUCAGAAAAUUAGAACUUGGAGACAGUGACAGUGACAGUUGAGGAAUUAGCUGUGGUACCUAUUUUGCAGAAUCAACUUUCCAUGCUUGAACACUGCUAAUCUUUCAUUUUCUUCAGAUUAUAUAUGACAGCAAGGAAUCUCUUGAAAGCUACUGUUCCCAUCUCUUGUUGUCUAGACAUGACAUAUAUUUUAAUGUGGUUGAUGGCAAGGGAUAUUCUUCUCUAUACGUUCUUCGAUGACGAUGGCUUGAUUUAGCUUGCUUCCAUCCUUAUUGUCAUCGUUCCGUCGUAAGUUCUUGAUCCUUGGUCCAAAGAUGGUUUGGUACAGGGAUUCUUUGGGAAACAUUCUUUUGGUCUAUUUCGUGAUCGCCCCUUCCUCGACGAUGGUGGAAAACUUGCCGUAGAGACCAUCAUCAGCAUAGAUUCCUUGGUAGAGGCUAAAACUGAAGGUGCUGAUUGACAAGGAGGGUUUUCUAUAGUUGCAUCGAUGGUGAUCUCAUGUUUUUGCUUGUUUCCUAUCCUAUGGUGGCCAUUCUAUUGCAAAUUCUUGAUCCUUGGUGCAGAGAAGUGUCAGUUCAAGGAUUCUUUUGAAUAGAUUCUUUUGGUCACAGAUUUUCAUAUCUAGCUCUGCUGCUGCCUAGCUUGCAAUGAAGAUGGCAAUUGACAAGGAGGUUUUUUUUCUCUCAUUAGGCCGGUGAUGCUUUGUCUUUCUUCCAGCCCUUUCAUUGUUGUUUGAUCACAGAUUCUUGAUCUCUUGGUCCAGAGGAGAAGAGUUGGUAGGUUGGUUCUUUGGGACAUGGAGUGUUUCUUUGCCACAUGAUGGAUUUCCGCCCAUUGGCGAGGAAAUCUUCUGUCAAUUGCAUAAUUGCGUUGAUAAAGGAACCUGAGGUGUAGUAGAUUAUUUGGUCAUAGUGUGUUGCUAUGAUCCUGCUGUUUGUGCUUCUUAUGGAAUGAAGAAGAGAUAAUUGGAUUGGUUGCCGAUAAGUGGCUGAGAAAGUUUAUUCAUUAGUGUUUGAUAAAUCCAGCUAAUCUGUUUGUAAUAUUAUGAUCAGCUUAGUGAGUGUGGGAAAUUCUUUAUGGCAAGCCAAGGCAGGCACUGACCCCAGCCAGUAAAUGAAUGUGAUAUUUAUUCAGAGUGGGAUUACCAAGCAGUAGGGAGAUAUUUGAUGCUAAAUUGGAGAAGAAAACUUACAGGAUUAUUACUCGAGUUUAGGAAAGAUUCCCAAAAAACAUUGCUACCAGUUGUCCAAAAGCCUGAUGGGAAGAAAAAUUGGAUGGUUUGUGAUCAGAUUCCUAUAAACAAUUUCAGCUGCUAAAUAGAUCUCUAGGUCUUUGUUUAUCUUUUAUAUCUCCUCUGACUACUCUAUGUUAUAUUUGAUAUUACUGAUUCUGAGGUAUCAAAUUUAGUUUAGUAUUUAAUUUUUAAAGAAGAAUGGAGUGAUUUGCUUAAUAAAGCUCCAACAAGUCACAUAUGUAGUACCUGGUAUUGAAGACUUUGACCACACUGAUAUCUAUGAAUUUGUUCAGAAAGCUCAGGGUCUCUUAGUAAGUUUCAGAAAAUUAGAACUUGGAGACAGUGACAGUGACAGCUGAGGAAUUAGCUGUGGUACCUAUUUUGCAGAAUCAACUUUCCAUGAUUGAACACUGCUCAUCUUUCAUUUUCUUAAGAUUAUAUAUGGCAGCAAGGAAUCUCUUGAAAGCUACUGUUCCCUUCUUUUGUUGUCUAGAGAUGACAUAUUUUAAUAUGAUUGAUGGCAAGGGAUAUUCUUCUCUUUAUGAACCACGACCAAGCAUUAAGGGUCAAUACGAGGAUUCUUUAGGAAAGAUUCUUUUGGUCAAUUUUCGUGGCUGCCCAACCACUUACUCGAUGGUGGUGACAGGCUAUAUUUUUCAUGGAUGAGGUGGAGGUGGGUUUUCUCUCAUUGCAUCGGUCUUCGAUGACGAUGGCAUGCUUUUGCUUGCUUCCAUCCUUAUUGUCAUCGUUCCGUCGUAAGUUCUUGAUCCUUGGUCCAAAGAUGGUUCGGUACAGGGAUUCUUUGGGAAAGAUUCUUUUGGUCUAUUUCAUGGUUCGGUACAGGGAUUCUUUGGGAUGGUGAUCUCAUGCUUUUGCUUGUUUCUUAUCCUAUGGUGGCCAUUCUAUCGCAAAUUCUUGAUCCUUGGUGCAGAGAAGUGUUGGUUCACAGAUUCUUUUGAAUAGAUUCUUUUGGUCACAGAUUUUCAUAGCAAGCUCUGCUGCUGCCUAGCUUGCAAUGAAGAUGGCAAUUGACGAGGUGGUUUUUUUCUCUCAUUAGGCCGGUGAUGCUUUGUCUUUCUUCCAGCCCUAUCAUUGCUGUUUGAUCACAGAUUCUUGAUCUCUUGGUCCAGAGGAGAAGAGUUGGUAGGUUGGUUCUUGGGGACAUGGAGUGUUCCUUUGCCACUUGAUGGAUUUCUAACCAUUGGCGAGGAAACCUUCUGUCAAUGGCAUAAUUGCGUUGAUAAAGGAACCUGAGGUGUAGUAGAUUAUUUGGUCAUAGUGUGUUGCUAUGAUCGUGCUGUUUGUGCUUCUUAUGGAUGAAGAAGAGAUAAUUGGAUUGGUUGCCGAUAAGUGGCUGAGAAAGUUUAUUCAUUAAUGUUUGAUAAAUCCAGCUAAUCUGUUUGUAAUAUUAUGAUCAGCUUAGUGAGUGUGGGAAGUUCUUUAUGGCAAGCCAAGGCAGACACCGACCACAGCCAGUAAAUGAAUGUGAUAUUUAUUCAGGAUCAAAUGACAAGGAUGGGCUCUGGUAUUUAUUAGCAUCAAUGUCAUCGUAGAAGGAGGUGGCAUCUUUUAUUACAAUAUGCAGUAAGCCAGCUCUGUUAUGAACAAAAGACCUUGUCCUCUCCAAAUUGCAAAAGUGUAUAAUUUGCUGCUAUGGAUAUUGUUCGUCAAGGAGCCAAUGUGAUGCCAAGGAAACAAUUGAAUGAUGUUUUGGAUGCUAAACUGGGUCCUGAUUGGUCAUCCAAACUGACGAGCUUUGAUUAUGAACAUCUUGCUGCAGCAAGCAUAGGGCAGGUCCAUCGACUAGUUAUGAAGAAUGGUAUGGAGGUUGCAAUGAAAGUACAGUACCCCCUGGUGUUGCAGAUAGCAUAGAAAGUGACAUCCAGAAUCAGUUUAAUUUUAGACUACACAAAUCUCAAUCCUAACGGAAUUUUUGUUGAUUACACUAUAAAGGGCUACCGACACAAGGCUGCAUCCUCGGACAAAUCGCUACAGAAGCUGCAUCGUCAAACAUGGCAAAUUUCCUCCUGACUUGAUUGUCACAUGUUCUCUUUGUUGUUGAUAUUGACAUGGUCGUGGUGGUGGUUCCACCUCAUCCUUCUCCCAAUAACAGCAGCAGCGUCCUCGGAAGGCAACACACAUAUAACACAUACAUACAUAACUCAAACACAUACAUAUACAUACUACACAUUACACAAAUACAACACGCGUACACAAAAUUCACAACGCAUACACAAUAUAACACAUACAUACAUAUAUACAACACACAUACACAACAUAAUAUACACACAACACACACACAUAACACACACACAACAUAUGAGACUACAUACACAUACACAUAUACACUACACAAUACACAUAACACAAUACAUAUACACGUAAUACAUACACAACACAUACCAUUCACAACACAACAUAUUAUUAACAACACACAUCACAUUCAUAACACACAUAUGUACACAACACAUCAUAACAUUCUUUACACACAACACACAUAUACACAAACACAAAACACACAACACACAUACAUAUACACAACACACUACACACAGUACACAAACACAAAACACACAGCAUUCACAACUCAACACACAUACACAACACACACAAAUACACAACACAUACACACACAACACACAUGCGCACCCAAUACAACAUCACUUUUUUAGAUUAUGUUUGCACUUGGGAGUUUAUAUUGUCAUCCACUUCUCAAGAUGUGGUUUCUCCACUAAUUUCAUCAAGCGUCUUGUUGUCCCGAGGAAUUGGAACAUGGAAUACGUCCACUUCACUUAAUCCGAAAAGGAAUUUAGCCUUUUAGAGCAUUGGUAUUUAUUUUUGAGAAGAUAUUUGCAUUGCCCAUAGUUGUAAAAUUCGAGUUAUGUUGUAACUAUUUAGUACCAUGCAGCCGUGUAUUUUUUUUUUUACAAAAAAUUGAAACUAUUCCAUGUGACAUAUUA